UACAGGGGGGGGCAAGCGUUGUUCGGAAUUACUGGGCGUAAAGGGCCAGUAGGCGGCCAACUAAGUCACACGUGAAAUCCCCAGGCUUAACCUGGGAACUGCGUGUGAUACUGGAUGGCUUGAAUUCGGGAGAGGGAUGCAGAAUUCCAGGUGUAGCGGUGAAAUGCGUAGAUAUCUGGAGGAAUACCGGUGGCGAAGGCGGCAUCCUGGACCAUAACUGACGCUGAGGCGCGAAAGCUAGGGGAGCAAACGGG
rnacentral:rRNA from 1 species